rnacentral:rRNA from 1 species
ACUCCUGCGGGAGGCAGCAGUGGGGAAUUUUGGACAAUGGGCGAAAGCCUGAUCCAGCAAUGCCGCGUGAGUGAAGAAGGCCUUCGGGUUGUAAAGCUCUUUUGUCAGGGAAGAAACGGUGAAAGCUAAUAUCUUUUGCUAAUGACGGUACCUGAAGAAUAAGCACCGGCUAACUACGUGCCAGCAGCCGCGGUAAUACGUAGGGUGCAAGCGUUAAUCGGAAUUACUGGGCGUAAAGCGUGCGCAGGCGGUUUUGUAAGUCUGAUGUGAAAUCCCCGGGCUCAACCUGGGAAUUGCAUUGGAGACUGCAAGGCUAGAAUCUGGCAGAGGGGGGUAGAAUUCCACGUGUAGCAGUGAAAUGCGUAGAUAUGUGGAGGAACACCGAUGGCGAAGGCAGCCCCCUGGGUCAAGAUUGACGCUCAUGCACGAAAGCGUGGGGAGCAAACAGGAUUAGAAACCCUUGUAGUCCCAUGAU